UCCAGAUCCCCAAAUCCUGUGAGGUGUUCCCAGCAAACCUCUCAUGGGAGCUCAGCAAUCCCUCCAGAUCCCCAAAUCCUGUGAGGUGUUCCCACCAAACCUCUCAUGGGAGCUCAGCAAUCCCUCCAGAUCCCCAAAUCCAUGUGAGGUGUUCCCACCAAACCUCACACAGGGAGCUCAGCAAUCCCUCCAGAUCCCCAAAUCCAUGUGAGGUGUUCCCACCAAACCCCACACAGGGAGCUCAGCAAUCCCUCCAGAUCCCCAAAUCCUGUGAGGUGUUCCCAGCAAACCUCUCAUGGGAGCUCAGCAAUCCCUCCAGAUCCCCAAAUCCUGUGAGGUGUUCCCAGCAAACCUCACAUGGGAGCUCAGCAAUCCCUCCAGAUCCCCAAAUCCUGUGAGGUGUUCCCAGCAAACCUCACACAGGGAGCUCAGCAAUCCCUCCAGAUCCCAAAUCCUGUGAGGUGUUCCCACCAAACCUCUCAUGGGAGCUCAGCAAUCCCUCCAGAUCCCCAAAUC